rnacentral:rRNA from 1 species
AUGAGUGUUGUAAGUUGGAACUACCGGGGGCUUGGGAACCCAGCGGCAGUUCGUGAUCUUCGCAACAUAGUGAAGUAAGAAGGCCCCUGUCCCCUCUUUGUGAUGGAGACGAAGAUCUCGGCUAGUCGGGUGGAGAGUUUAAAGUUUCAACUUGGUUUUUUAGGUUGUUUUGCGAUGAAUAGCAAAGGUUUGAGUGGUGGAAUUGGUAUGUUUUGGUCAGCCGAAGUUGAAGUUGAAUUGAAAAACUUUAGCUCGAGCCACAUUGAUGUGUUGGUCAGGAAGAAUACUCAAAACUCUAUGGAGUGGAGAGUCACGGGUUUCUAUGGUGCACCGCAAGCUGAGGACAGGCACCAUAGCUGGAGGUUUCUACUUUGA